rnacentral:rRNA from 1 species
GUGAGGAAUAUUGGUCAAUGGACGAGAGUCUGAACCAGCCAAGUCGCGUGAAGGAAGACGGUUCUAUGAAUUGUAAACUUCUUUUGUGCAGGAAUAAAGUGGGUUACGUGUAACCUUUUGUAUGUACUGUACGAAUAAGGAUCGGCUAACUCCGUGCCAGCAGCCGCGGUAAUACGGAGGAUCCGAGCGUUAUCCGGAUUUAUUGGGUUUAAAGGGUGCGUAGGUGGAUUGGUAAGUCAGCGGUGAAAGUUUGCAGCUUAACUGUAAAAUUGCCGUUGAAACUGUCGGUCUUGAGUGCAAAUGAGGUAGGCGGAAUGUGUUGUGUAGCGGUGAAAUGCUUAGAUAUAACACAGAACUCCGAUUGCGAAGGCAGCUUACUGGGAUGCAACUGACACUGAUGCACGAAAGCGUGGGUAUCAAACAGGAUUAGAAACCCUUGUAGUCC